UACGUAGGGGGCAAGCGUUGUCCGGAAUUAUUGGGCGUAAAGCGCGCGCAGGCGGUUAUUUAAGUCUGGUGUUUAAUCCUGGAGCUCAACUCCGGGUCGCACUGGAAACUGGGUAACUUGAGUACAGAAGAGGAAAGUGGAAUUCCACGUGUAGCGGUGAAAUGCGUAGAGAUGUGGAGGAACACCAGUGGCGAAGGCGGCAUCCUGGACCGACACUGACGCUGAGGCGCGAAAGCUAGGGUAGCAAACGGG
rnacentral:rRNA from 1 species